rnacentral:siRNA from 1 species
AAGGUAUCAGGUAUGCCACAC